rnacentral:rRNA from 1 species
CCUACGGGAGGCAGCAGUAAGGAAUAUUGGUCAAUGGGGGCAACUCUGAACCAGCCAUGCCGCGUGCAGGAAGACUGCCCUAUGGGUUGUAAACUGCUUUUAUACGGGAAUAAACCUUGAUUCGUGAAUCGAGCUGAAUGUACCGUAAGAAUAAGGAUCGGCUAACUCCGUGCCAGCAGCCGCGGUAAUACGGAGGAUCCAAGCGUUAUCCGGAUUUAUUGGGUUUAAAGGGAGCGUAGGCGGCCUAUUAAGUCAGGGGUGAAAGACGGUGGCUCAACCAUCGCAGUGCCUUUGAUACUGGUAGGCUUGAAUGUAGUUGAGGUAGGCGGAAUGUGACAAGUAGCGGUGAAAUGCAUAGAUAUGUCACAGAACACCGAUUGCGAAGGCAGCUUACUAAGCUAUGAUUGACGCUGAGGCUCGAAAGCGUGGGGAUCAAACAGGAUUAGAUACCCUGGUAGUCCACGCCCUAAACGAUGAUAACUCGAUGUUGGCGAUAUACAGUCAGCGUCCGAGACGAAGACGUUAGUUAGUCCACCGUGGGUAGGUACGUUCCGCGAGGGUUAGGAACGUACGAAGGAAGUUAGACGGCGNGAGACGCGCCGACGGACGACGACGAGGGAGGAGG